AAAAGUACUUGAAAAGUAUUUGUACUUGCUUAGUUCCAACCUCUAAAUUAAACCAGUUCAGACAAACUGGUUUAAUUGAACCAGGUUAUUUGAACCAGUUUAUGUAAACUCUCUCUCUCUCGAUCAGAUCAUAGAGAAGAGGAAGAAGAUGGAGGCUGACGGGGUCGACGUGAAGAGACCGAAAUACUGAAAUCUGACAUCUCUACUUUCAUUUCCUCUUCCUCCUGGUUUCUACUGAUUAUUGAUGAUAUGUAACCGCUUCAUGUUUCUCUGUGAACGUCAUGUGAACAGUGUGAGGUCACAGAUGAUCCGUGUUUGUGUUUUAGUUGAAAAAGUUGUUACUUUAACGUAAAAGCAAUAGUUGUUAAUUAGUUUUUAAAAAAUCAUCAAUAAAACUUAACCCUCGGUUUCUUUGG